GAUGAAGAACGUAGCGAAAUGCGAUACGUAAUGUGAAUUGCAGAAUUCAGUGAAUCAUCGAAUCUUUGAACGCACAUUGCGCCCGCCAGCACUCUGGCGGGCAUGCCUGUUCGAGCGUCAUUUCAACCAUCAAGCCCCAGGCUUGUGUUGGAGCCCUGCGGCUGCCGCAGCCUCCCAAAACCAGUGGCGGGCUCGCUAUCACACCGAGUGCAGUAGUUUACUCUUCGCUCAGGGCGUGUGGCGGGUGCUAGCCGUAAAACCCCCAACUUCUCAAGGUUGACCUCGGAUCAGGUAGGAAUACCCGCUGAACUUAAGCAUAUCAAUAAGCGGAGGA
rnacentral:misc_RNA from 1 species